CGGGGUGAGUAACGCGUGGAUAACCUGCCUCACACUGGGGGAUAACAGUUAGAAAUGACUGCUAAUACCGCAUAAGCGCACAGUACCGCAUGGUACAGUGUGAAAAACUCCGGUGGUGUGAGAUGGAUCCGUGUCUGAUUAGCCAGUUGGCGGGGUAACGGCCCACCAAAGCGACGAUCAGUAGCCGACCUGAGAGGGUGACCGGCCACAUUGGGACUGAGACACGGCCCAA
rnacentral:rRNA from 1 species